GUUAAUGUGUGAUAGUGUUUAGGUGGUUGAGGCUGCAAAACGCCUUCAUCUGAAGGAGCACACAGUCCAUGAUGGAUCUGGAAAUGUUUUCAAGUUAGCUGCACCAGUGGAAUGCAAGGGUAUUGUUGGCAGUGAUGACAGGCAUUAUCUCCUUGACUUGAUGAGAGUCACUCCUCGUGAUGCAAACUACACUGGACCUGGGUCUCGAUUUUGUAUCUUGAGACCAGAAUUAAUUACAGCUUUUUGCCAGGCCAAAGCUACAGAGAGAUCCAAAACUAAGUCCACGUCUCAAGGAGAUGCUCAUAUUGCCAGUAAUUCUCCAAAUGUUGAUGGUGAAAUACAG